rnacentral:rRNA from 1 species
GACGAACGCUGGCGGCGUGCUUAACACAUGCAAGUCGAACGGAAAGGCCCUGCUUUUGUGGGGUGCUCGAGUGGCGAACGGGUGAGUAACACGUGAGUAACCUGCCCUUGACUUUGGGAUAACUUCAGGAAACUGGGGCUAAUACCGGAUAGGAGCCCCUGCUGCCUGGUGGGGGUUGGAAAGUUUCGGCGGUUGGGGAUGGACUCGCGGCUUAUCAGCUUGUUGGUGGGGUAGUGGCUUACCAAGGCUUUGACGGGUAGCCGGCCUGAGAGGGUGACCGGCCACAUUGGGACUGAGAUACGGCCCAGACUCCUACGGGAGGCAGCAGUGGGGAAUAUUGCACAAUGGGCGGAAGCCUGAUGCAGCAACGCCGCGUGCGGGAUGACGGCCUUCGGGUUGUAAACCGCUUUCGCCUGUGACGAAGCGUGAGUGACGGUAAUGGGUAAAGAAGCACCGGCUAACUACGUG